rnacentral:lncRNA from 7 species
UGGUAUUUAUAGAGAAGUUGAAGCCCAUAUGAUGGUGAACAAGUUUAUUUAAGUGACUUUGGCUUGUUCCCACAUAAAAAGUGGAUAAAAAUGCCCCAAAGAUCAGCUGCUAGGCAUUCCUAUAACUGAAUUUGGUUCAGUUCUGAAAUCUAAAAUUUGUUGUAUGGUGCCAAGUUUGGAGCCCUUUUGUGGUUGUUCUAUAAGGUUUUGGACUGAGGUUUCUAUAGAGGAAUUGAAGACCAUAUAUUGGUGAACAACUUCUUUAAAGGUGAUGGACAUGAUCCGAUACGAAAAUUGGAGUAACAGCUGCUCAAAGGUUGGACUGUCAGGUGGCUAGUGACUUAGUCUAUUCAGAAUUUAAAGUCUGAAAUCAGUAGUGAUGCAAAGUUUAGAGCCCUAUUGUGACCAACUCUUGUGGUUUUGGACUAAGAAUUAUAUAGUAAAGUUGGAGUCCAUAG